rnacentral:piRNA from 1 species
UGGCCUAGAGAGAAUCUGCAAGUAGCAGG